UACGUAGGGGGCAAGCGUUGUCCGGACUUAUUGGGCGUAAAGAGCGUGUAGGCGGUUUGGUAGGUCCGUUGUGAAAACUCGAGGCUCAACCUCGAGACGCCGAUGGAAACCAUCAGACUAGAGUCCGGAAGAGGAGAGUGGAAUUCCUGGUGUAGCGGUGAAAUGCGCAGAUAUCAGGAAGAACACCCGUGGCUAAGGCGGCUCUCUAGUACGGUACUGACGCUGAGACGCGAAAGCGUGGGGAGCGAACAGG
rnacentral:rRNA from 1 species